rnacentral:rRNA from 14 species
AUUGUUCACCCACUAAUAGGGAACGUGAGCUGGGGUUAGACCGUCGUGAGACAGGUUAGUUUUACCCCACUGAUGAGUUCGAUGUCGCGACAGUAAUCCAACUUAGUACGAGAGGAACCGUUGGUUCGGAUACUUGGUAAUGCGGUUGGCUGAACAGCCAAUGCCGCGAAGCUACCAUCCGUAGGAUUAUGACUGAACGCCUCUAAGUCAGAAUCCAUGCUGGAAAGCGACGUUAUUUCCUUUUCCGAUGUCACUCGCAUUCGAGUAGGCCUUCGGGCUCAACAUCGUAUUUUAUCGCAAUUUCAAACAUUGGAAGAGAUAAAUCCAUUGUAGACGACUUUGUACGAAUGGGGUAUUGUAAGCAUGAGAGUAGGCUUUGUCCUACGAUCUGCUGAGAUUAAGCCUUUAUUCU